GGGAGGGGUGCAAGCGUUAAUCGGAAUUACUGGGCGUAAAGCGCACGCAGGCGGUUUGUUAAGUCAGAUGUGAAAUCCCCGGGCUCAACCUGGGAACUGCAUCUGAUACUGGCAAGCUUGAGUCUCGUAGAGGGGGGUAGAAUUCCAGGUGUAGCGGUGAAAUGCGUAGAGAUCUGGAGGAAUACCGGUGGCGAAGGCGGCCCCCUGGACGAAGACUGACGCUCAGGUGCGAAAGCGUGGGGAGCAAACAGGAUUAGAUACCCUGGUAGUCCACGCCGUAAACGAUGUCGACUUGGAGGUUGUGCCCUUGAGGCGUGGCUUCCGGAGCUAACGCGUUAAGUCGACCGCCUGGGGAGUACGGCCGCAAGGUUA
rnacentral:rRNA from 1 species